GCACUUUGUGGGAUUUUGCCGUCUCUACAACCAAUUAUUGUUUACUUCUCAGACUGUUUCCAGUGGUUGUCACAGGCUGUUCCUAAGUCAAAUCGAAAAGAGUUUAUCAAGAAGGUGGAAGAAAUGCUUCACCUAGUACCAGGCCCUGUUGUUUUCAUCUGUGGUCAAAGCAUAAUGGAAUCAGGGUCUAAGGAGAAAGAAAAGCUGGCGACAAUGUUGCUCCCUGGUCUUGGUCGCAUUGCUCAGUUG